UAAGGUUUAACCUGCCCACUGAAUAAUUUAAAUGGCCGCAGUAUUUUAACUGUGCAAAGGUAGCAUAAUCAUUAGUUUUUUAAUUAAAAGCUUGUAUGAAAGGUUGGACGAGGUAAAAACUGUCUCUAUUUAAUUUAUUAUAAAAUUUAAUUUUUAAGUUAAAAAGCUUAAAUUUUUUUAAAAGACGAGAAGACCCUAUAGAUCUUUAUAUUUAUUAUUUUAUUUUUAAUUAAGAUUUAUUUAAAUUUUAUUAUAUUAAAUAUUUUAUUGGGGUAAUAAGAAGAUUAAAAAAAUUCUUUUUUAUAUUAUUCAUUGAUUAAUGUUUUAAUGAUCCAAUUUUAUUGAUUAUAAGAUUAAGUUACCUUAGGGAUAACAGCGUAAUUUUUUUAGAGAGUUCAUAUCGAUAAAAAAGUUUGCGACCUCGAUGUUGGAUUAAAGAUUAAUUUAGGUGUAGAUGUUUAAAUUUUUGGUCUGUUCGACCAUUGAAUCUUUACAUGAUCUGAGUUCAGACCGGUGUAAGCCAGGUCGGUUUCUAUCUUUAAUAAUUUAAUAUAUUUUAGUACGAAAGGACCAAAUAUAUAAUAUAUAAAUAUUUAAUUGUUUUGAAUAUUAUUAAUUAUUUUGGCAGAUUAGUGCAAUGAAUUUAGAAUUCAUAUAUGUAAAUUUUUACAAGUAAUACUUGUUUUAUAUAGAUAUAAUAUUUUCUUUUAUUUGUAUAUUAUUAUUAAUUAUUUGUGUAUUA
rnacentral:rRNA from 1 species